AGCCAGGCACUGCGCACGUGGAAGCCGCCCAACCCCGCCAGGUCCGGAAGGAAGCAACGGUAAGCGGAACAGACGGUGCCGCAGACCGCCUGGCUUCG
rnacentral:SRP_RNA from 1 species